rnacentral:misc_RNA from 1 species
UUUNGUUUGCCCCUUCCCAUCCAAUGCUCCUUGCGGGCGUUGGAGGGCCACAUAGUAGUCCCCGUGUUCCCUGAGAGCGUCGUGUCGGCGUCGCCUCUCAAGGCCCUCGGGGRUGUGCUGGUCCCUCGGAUACGGUUCGCCCGGCGGCYGUGUGCAGGAGUCACACUCGGCCACGUAGAGAUUCGGUUUACCUGAGCGAUGUCCGUGCUUGCGUCGGUUCGCCUGGCCCGGCCCGGCGAUCUCGAGCAACGCCCGGCGUCACGGAGGGAUGCUACCUGGUUGAUCCUGCCAGUAGUCAUAUGCUUGUCUCA